CGAUAGCGAACAAGUACUGUGAAGGAAAGAUGCAAAGAACUUUGAAAAGAGAGUUAAACAGUGCCUGAAAUCGUUGCAAGAGAAGCGAAUCUAGCCAGUGCGUU
rnacentral:rRNA from 14 species